CCUACGGGAGGCAGCAGUGGGGAAUAUUGGUCAAUGGGGGAAACCCUGAUCCAGCGACGCCGCGUGAGUGAAGACGUAUUUCGGUACGUUAAGCUCUAUCAGCAGGAAAGAAAAUGACGGUACCUGACUAAGAAGCCCUGGCUAACUACGUGCCAGCAGCCGCGGUAAUACGUAGGGGGCAAGCGUGAUCCGGAUUUACUGGUUGUUAAGGGAGCGUAGGCGGCAGCGCAAGACUGGUGUGAAAUGCCGGGGCCCAACCCCGGAACUGCUCUGGAAACUGUGAUGCUGGAGUGCAGGAGAGGUAGGCGGAAUUCGUGGUGUAGCGGUGAAAUGCGUAGAUAUCAGGAAGAACACCGGCGGCGAAGGCAGCUUACUGGACUGUAACUGACGUUGAGGCUCGAAGGCGUGGGGAGCGAACAGGAUUAGAUACCCGAGUAGUC
rnacentral:rRNA from 1 species